CGUAGGUGGCCUGUUAAGUCGAACGUGAAAUCCCCGGGCUCAACCCGGGAACUGCGUCCGAGACUGGCAGGCUCGAAUCCGGGAGAGGGAUGCGGAAUUCCAGGUGUAGCGGUGAAAUGCGUAGAUAUCUGGAGGAACACCGGUGGCGAAGGCGGCAUCCUGGACCGGUAUUGACGCUGAGGCGCGAAAGCCAGGGGAGCAAACG
rnacentral:rRNA from 1 species